rfam:TPA: Bos taurus chromosome 4, whole genome shotgun sequence.
UUCCUGGUGGUUCAGAUGGUAAAGAACUUGCCUGCAAUGCAAGAGACCCAGGUUCAAUCUCUGGGUCAGAAAG